GAUGGUAUAGCUCAGUGGUAGAGCGCAUGCUUAGCAUGCACGAGGUCCUGGCUUCAAUUCCUACUACUUUCA
rnacentral:tRNA from 1 species